rnacentral:rRNA from 1 species
AUGAACGCUAGCUACAGGCUUAACACAUGCAAGUCGAGGGGCAGCAUUUUAGUUUGCUUGCAAACUGAAGAUGGCGACCGGCGCACGGGUGAGUAACACGUAUCCAACCUGCCGAUAACUCCGGAAUAGCCUUUCGAAAGAAAGAUUAAUACCGGAUGGCAUACGAAUAUCGCAUGAUAUUUUUAUUAAAGAAUUUCGGUUAUCGAUGGGGAUGCGUUCCAUUAGUUUGUUGGCGGGGUAACGGCCCACCAAGACUACGAUGGAUAGGGGUUCUGAGAGGAAGGUCCCCCACAUUGGAACUGAGACACGGUCCAAACUCCUACGGGAGGCAGCAGUGAGGAAUAUUGGUCAAUGGGCGCGAGCCUGAACCAGCCAAGUAGCGUGAAGGAUGAAGGCUCUAUGGGUCGUAAACUUCUUUUAUAUGGGAAUAAAGUUUUCCACGUGUGGAAUUUUGUAUGUACCAUAUGAAUAAGGAUCGGCUAACUCCGUGCCAGCAGCCGCGGUAAUACGGAGGAUCCGAGCGUUAUCCGGAUUUAUUGGGUUUAAAGGGAGCGUAGGUGGAUUGUUAAGUCAGUUGUGAAAGUUUGCGGCUCAACCGUAAAAUUGCAGUUGAAACUGGCAGUCUUGAGUACAGUAGAGGUGGGCGGAAUUCGUGGUGUAGCGGUGAAAUGCUUAGAUAUCACGAAGAACUCCGAUUGCGAAGGCAGCUCACUAGACUGUCACUGACACUGAUGCUCGAAAGUGUGGGUAUCAAACAGGAUUAGAUACCCUGGUAGUCCACACAGUAAACGAUGAAUACUCGCUGUUUGCGAUAUACAGUAAGCGGCCAAGCGAAAGCAUUAAGUAUUCCACCUGGGGAGUACGCCGGCAACGGUGAAACUCAAAGGAAUUGACGGGGGCCCGCACAAGCGGAGGAACAUGUGGUUUAAUUCGAUGAUACGCGAGGAACCUUACCCGGGCUUAAAUUGCAACAGAAUAUAUUGGAAACAGUAUAGCCGUAAGGCUGUUGUGAAGGUGCUGCAUGGUUGUCGUCAGCUCGUGCCGUGAGGUGUCGGCUUAAGUGCCAUAACGAGCGCAACCCUUAUCUUUAGUUACUAACAGGUCAUGCUGAGGACUCUAGAGAGACUGCCGUCGUAAGAUGUGAGGAAGGUGGGGAUGACGUCAAAUCAGCACGGCCCUUACGUCCGGGGCUACACACGUGUUACAAUGGGGGGUACAGAAGGCGGCUACCUGGUGACAGGAUGCUAAUCCCAAAAACCUCUCUCAGUUCGGAUCGAAGUCUGCAACCCGACUUCGUGAAGCUGGAUUCGCUAGUAAUCGCGCAUCAGCCAUGGCGCGGUGAAUACGUUCCCGGGCCUUGUACACACCGCCCGUCACACCAUGAGAGUUGGGGAUACCCGAAGCCUGUGAGCCAACAUAUCUAUGAGGCAGCAGUCGAAGGUAGAAUCAAUGAUUGGGGUG